rnacentral:rRNA from 1 species
AUGGAAAAAAAGACGGAGAAGGAAAAAUCUACAAGAAGGGAGGGAAAAAGUAAGAGAAAAAACCGUUCACAUAAUGGUUCAGAUCGGCAUAACAGUGAGGACUGUUCGACUCGGACACUGAAUCACCAGCUACCGGCUCUGGAUAUUCUUCUGAAAGUGGCAGUUCUUCGAAUUCAGAGAACAAGAAGCGGCGACCCAAAGGGAAGCAGAAGAAGAGAAGGCACAGAAGGGACAGCACAUCGUCAUCAUCAUCCGAUUCUGAAUCCGUUUUGGACUCUGAUUCUGUUGACAAGGGCAGCUGGAGGAAGACCGGUAAGGCGAAGCAACAGGUGCUGA